UGAUGCCGUUGCAAGAACGAAGACUGACAACUUAGGUGGCUGUGUCGAUGCCUGUUCACAAUUGGCUACUGCAAACGUCAGUGUGUUUUCCAAAACUUUUCCGUUAUCAGUGUUAUAUUUGUAGCCUAUCAUUCCGUUAUUAAUCUGACUUCAAGUUGAUUUGAGAUUCUUUCAUACAGGGAUAAGUGAAACAUACUUUGUGAGGUGUUCGCACGUAAUGUUUGUGGCAAUAGCAACGACUGAUGCCAGAUUCAUUUGUGAUCAUUCUCAUCACUAUGGUAGUCUACACUACACACUAUUACUCAUUCAUCACAUUUGGACAGCACUGUCAAACUCCCAUUUUGUAACGAUUUGGAUAUUAGGCGCAGGUGUGGAAAAGUGAAAUAUCAGAAGUUUCGGGCGCCCCACAGCUUCAUCGUCCUAGGUAGGCAUCUGACGCGGAGCUACUCGGAGGCCGCAACUCCCGAUGGCAGGCCCGGCUUCACAUCGCGAGCGCACACCGUGUCUGGAGAAAACUCGCAGGAUGAACUCGCCCUCCUGGUGUGGCUCGUACGUGGAGGGGAUGAUGACGUACUCCCCGGGGCUCAGGCGGAAGCGCUGGGUCACCUCGCGCAGGUUGAUGUAGGACUUGCAGCGAGCUUUGGAGGAGGUCAACAGGAAGAAGUCCUUCUGCAUGUGCUGCUUGUUCCCGUGCAUCUGGAAGGGGGGAGUCGCAACGGAAAAAAGGAAUUAAAAACAAUCGAGUACUGACUUGGCGUAGGCCUUCUCCAGCAGGGCGCUCCAGAACUCGUUCCUCUCAGCGGACUUGGUGAAGACCAGCUGGUUGUUGAAGGUUGGGAUGCGGUCGUCGAUGACGACAUCGACCCAGUCGCCGUAGCGCCAAAACUGAAAGACAAAAGGAGGAACGACGCGGGAGGAUCAAGGACGAGUAAACUGUGUAAAGGAAGGACUGAAUGUCUGCUAAGUUAAGACUGACCUGGAAGUGGAAGAUGCCUGCAUAGUCCUCCGUGUAGCUCUGCUCGUGGGGAACCACGCGGUAGAGAAGCUUCUCAUUCAAGCACAUCGAUUUUUCACCACCGUCACAUAUCCUACAUAUGGGAGGGGUUGUGAUUUCUUGAAAACUACAACUACUACUGUAUGGAUUUAGUUGCCUUUUGAACUUCAUUCAACAAGAAAAUGGCUGCCACAGUAAAUAACAUGCACCUUUUUCCUCGAUUUGGGAUUUCGCUCACAAGAAAAUCAAAGACCGACAGGAACUCCUCUGCCGCCGAGUGCUGACAUUUGUGUUUUCUGAUUGCCCAGGUGUGUAAAAGGGUGUUACUGGAAACAAUGUAAGUUUUUCAACAG